GAGGUAAACAACCACUGUCCCAGACUGUGUAGAGAGGUAAACAACCACUGUCCCAGACUAACAGACUGUGUAGAGAGGUAAACAACCACUGUCCCAGACUAACAGACUGUGUAGAGAGGUAAACAACCACUGUCCCAGACUAACAGACUGUGUAGAGAGGUAAACAACCACUGUCCCAGACUAACAGACUGUGUAGAGAGGUAAACAACCACUGUCCCAGACUCUCAGACUGUGUAGAGAGGUAAACAACCACUGUCCCAGACUCUCAGACUGUGUAGAGAGGUAAACAACCACUGUCCCAGACUAACAGACUGUGUAGAGAGGUAAACAACCACUGUCCCAGACUAACAGACUGUGUAGAGAGGUAAACAACCACUGUCCCAGACUGUGUAGAGAGGUAAACAACCACUGUCCCAGACUGUGUAGAGAGGUAAACAACCACUG